rnacentral:tRNA from 1 species
GCGCCUGUAGCUCAAUUGGAUAGAGCAUCGGUCUACGGAACCGAAGGUUGGGGGUUCGAGCCCCUCCAGGCGUA